rnacentral:misc_RNA from 1 species
AAAGGGCUUUGGGCUUCAUCUUUCUUUCUGACAAAGAGAGAAAGAGAAUGCACAAAAAUCCUUGAAUUUUCUGCCUUUCUUUCAACGCCAGACCCCAACAGCAAUCAUCAUGUCCUCUCCCUCUUCUUCUCACCUUCUCCAUCGCCAUCAUUGUACCCACACCUUCCCUUCUCUCACCAACUCCACACCCCACAAACCUUCAUCAUUAUUUCCUCCAAGAAAAGGCAGCUGGGGUAGAAGAAGGCGAAGAAGAAAGAAAAAAGAAAUCUCAGAAACAACCUUUCUCCCAUGCGUGAGACUUGCUUUCUUUGUCUUUCUCUCUCUUGGUUUUCAGUGAAGAAAGCUAGAUAGGUUGCUUGCCUUUUAAGACUUGAAAGGAAGAACUUUCUUCCUUUGGGGAAUCAAGCAUCUUGGUCCGAUAUGAUUUUGUUUGCUUCAUCAAGCAAAUUCAUUUCAGUAGCUCUUUUGCCCUUUUUAAGCUUAUUUAUAUAGAUAUUGUUCUUGAAUCUUGAGUGAGGGUUUGAUGUGAUUUUUGCUACUUUCCUUUAUAUUAGCUAGGUUUCGUUGAUUGUGACUUUAUGAGCUCUCUACUACCAUGGUAUAUGUAUAUUAUCGUCUUAGUGUCUUUCUUGUUCUUGUUGAAACAAGUACUGUUUUUUUUGUGUAGAAGAUGAUAGAUCUUGAAUCUUUAAGUGUGAAAUGAAAGCAACCAUGGUUUCUUCUCUUUGAUUUCUGAAUAUCGAUUAUAGAAGUUCUCUCAAGCAGAUCUAAUGGAUUCAUCAUCUUCAAAACUAGCAAGCUAGGGUUUACAGUUUUUGUGUUUGUGGGAAAUAUCUCAAGAUUUUUCUUUUAAUUCUUUAGCCAUGCAAACAUGGAUUAAUUAACACAAAUUAUGUUUAUUUUAUCGUUAAUUGUUAUAUUUUAGUUCCCUUUUUAAUUUUCUUGAUUAAAUUUUCAGAAAUUAAAAGAUUUUUUCCUUAUAUUUAGUAGAUUAAUUUGUGGAUUUCGAAGGAUCUUCCUGCAGAACUGUCUUUACUUGCUUAUAUAUUCUAUUGGAUGCUUCACUUCUUGAUGUUUCAGCACCAGGAAACCAAGAAAACUUUGGCCUCCAUUAAAUUAUCAAGAAAGAAAUUGGUGAUUAUGCUUAACAUCUUGAACGUGUAAGCACAAACAAACGGUUUCUUCAUUAUACACGGUGACAAAGACAGUAAGUUCAAUUGAUUGCAGCAUGUGAUAAUCCUUUUCUGGGUGAUUAAAUUUGUGCUUUGGAUUAACUAUCAUCUUCAAGUUCUCUGGCGAUGAUAAUUAAAUUUAAAUAGUAAUUCAAAACUAAUUUACUUACCUUAAUCAGUCUCGAAUUCAAGUCCUUGAAAUAAGUUUUU